rnacentral:rRNA from 1 species
AACUGCGUGGAUUAGAUACCCUAGUAGUCCACGCCCUAAACGAUGGAUACUGGGUGUAGGGGGUAUCGACCCCCUCUGUGCCGAAGCUAACGCGUUAAGUAUCCCGCCUGGGGAGUACGGCCGCAAGGCUAAAACUCAAAAGAAUUGACGGGGACCCGCACAAGCAGCGGAGCGUGUUGUUUAAUUCGAUGCAAAGCGAAGAACCUUACCAAGGCUUGACAUGUAUCCGCUAUCCCGGGAAACCGGGAGUU